rfam:Citrus clementina cultivar Clemenules unplaced genomic scaffold scaffold_2, whole genome shotgun sequence.
AAUGCUGUGAUGAGAUGAAGCACUUUGGUGCGUAUAUGGGUAGUGGACGAGGCCUUUCAAAGGCAUUGCCGUGAACCCUAUUUAUUAACGACUUCUCCUUCCACUGAGCUCU